AGUUGGUGGAGUGAUUUGUCUGGUUAAUUCCGUUAACGAACGAGACCUCAGCCUACUAAAUAGGUUUGAUUAUUUUAAUAGUUAAAGCUUCUUAGAGGGACUAUCGAUGUUUAAUCGAUGGAAGUUUGAGGCAAUAACAGG
rnacentral:rRNA from 1 species